UUGCUUCUUUGCCGGCGAGCGGCGGACGGGUGAGUAAUUUCUGGGGAUCUGCCCGAUGGAGGGGGAUAACUACUGGAAACGGUAGCUAAUACCGCAUAACGUCGCAAGACCAAAGUGGGGGACCUUCGGGCCUCACACCAUCGGAUGAACCCAGAUGGGAUUAGCUAGUAGGUGGGGUAAUGGCUCACCUAGGCGACGAUCUCUAGCUGGUCUGAGAGGAUGACCAGCCACACUGGAACUGAGACACGGUCCAGACUCCUACGGGAGGCAGCAGUGGGGAAUAUUGCACAAUGGGGGAAACCCUGAUGCAGCCAUGCCGCGUGUGUGAAGAAGGCCUUCGGGUUGUAAAGCACUUUCAGCGGGGAGGAAGGCGGUGGCGUUAAUAGCGCUAUCGAUUGACGUUACCCGCAGAAGAAGCACCGGCUAACUCCGUGCCAGCAGCCGCGGUAAUACGGAGGGUGCGAGCGUUAAUCGGAAUUACUGGGCGUAAAGCGUACGCAGGCGGUCUGUUAAGUCAGAUGUGAAAUCCCCGGGCUCAACCUGGGAACUGCAUUUGAAACUGGCAGGCUAGAGUCUCGUAGAGGGGGGUAGAAUUCCAGGUGUAGCGGUGAAAUGCGUAGAGAUCUGGAGGAAUACCGGUGGCGAAGGCGGCCCCCUGGACGAAGACUGACGCUCAGGUACGAAAGCGUGGGGAGCAAACAGGAUUAGAUACCCUGGUAGUCCACGCUGUAAACGAUGUCGAUUUGAAGGUUGUGGCCUUGAGCCGUGGCUUUCGGAGCUAACGCGUUAAAUCGACCGCCUGGGGAGUACGGCCGCAAGGUUAAAACUCAAAUGAAUUGACGGGGGCCCGCACAAGCGGUGGAGCAUGUGGUUUAAUUCGAUGCAACGCGAAGAACCUUACCUACUCUUGACAUCCAGAGAACGUGGCAGAGAUGCUUUGGUGCCUUCGGGAGCUCUGAGACAGGUGCUGCAUGGCUGUCGUCAGCUCGUGUUGUGAAAUGUUGGGUUAAGUCCCGCAACGAGCGCAACCCUUAUCCUUUGUUGCCAGCGAUUCGGUCGGGAACUCAAAGGAGACUGCCGGUGAUAAACCGGAGGAAGGUGGGGAUGACGUCAAGUCAUCAUGGCCCUUACGAGUAGGGCUACACACGUGCUACAAUGGCGCAUACAAAGAGAAGCGAUCUCGCGAGAGUCAGCGGACCUCAUAAAGUGCGUCGUAGUCCGGAUUGGAGUCUGCAACUCGACUCCAUGAAGUCGGAAUCGCUAGUAAUCGUGGAUCAGAAUGCCACGGUGAAUACGUUCCCGGGCCUUGUACACACCGCCCGUCACACCAUGGGAGUGGGUUGCAAAAGAAGUAGGUAGCUUAACCUUCG
rnacentral:rRNA from 1 species